CUCGGUUGUCGUCAGAGUGUAGUCCAAAUCCCUUUUAUCGAGUUAUUCUUGAACUACACGGUAAAAUGGCAACUUUUAGUUGAAAGUCAAGUCUGCUUCUGUGAAUUGGACCUUCAAGUAUACGCCACGUGUAAAUAUCUUUAGAAAACUAACUACACUCACGGCGUUCUACACGUUAGCUAGCAGUCAUUUCCUAGGUGUGUGUGUAAUGUGUGUAUAUAUAUAUAUAAUAUAUAUAUUACAUACUUGUAAGACGGAGCUGCGGGACGCAAAGCCCACGAUGUGAUUGGCGGCGCGCGGCGUGCCGUUAUUUUCCCAGCAUCGCCUGUGUUACAUACUACCCCCUAUAUAGUAUAUGAAAGUAGCUGAGGUGUCAGCUCGCACUAGUGCUUCUUGGAAACCUGUAAGGGGGAGUAACCUGGCGUGAGGUCGAUAGCGAAAGUGUCCCGUUCGGUCAGCUGGUGCCGUUACUAUCAUUAGCAUGGCGUUUCAAAUGUCUGCGCUCGCCACUGCAGGCGUGCUGCUGUCCCGCGGCCGUGCAGUCUGUCGCGCUCCCGUGCUCGUUCCCGCGCUCCACUCUACAGUCACUGUCCGCUCCGGCCGCUCAGAGGUUCACCGAGAAGCGGCUUUCGGCGGCGCCGGCGAAGCCUUCAGCAGGGCGCCUUUCACUGCACUUGCAACUCUUGUACCCGUGCAGCCCGCUCUCUUGUUGUUCGGAAACAGCGGCGUAAGUGCUUCAUUCUCGACGAGUUCCGCGGCUCCGAAGGGUCCUCGCAGCAGUCGGGGCAGGCGGAGGUGCUGGGCUCUGCUGGCCGCCCUCGGCCUCUCCACCACCGUCGGCUGCCUGCACUCCGGCACGGUGUCGGCGGCCAUGGCCUCCAGCUCUGACUCCAUCAAUCUGGAUUCACCCGACACCGACUGGAAAGAGGCCAAAAAGCUCCUGCUGUCCGCGAGCCCGCGCGAGAGGCGGCGGCUGUACAGAGUGUCCGAGGUGCUCCCGCUCAGCCAGAUCCCCGUGUGGACUCCCUCCGCCGGACAGACUACUGGUGAGACCUGUUAUCAGGUUAAUGAGGUGCUGAACAGCAAGAUCUCUCUCUUCAGAGGUGACAUCACCAAGCUGGAGGUAGAUGCCAUUGUUAAUGCAGCUAACAAGACCCUGCUUGGAGGAGGUGGAGUGGAUGGGUCCAUCCAUCGUGGAGCAGGGCCCCUCUUGAAGAAAGAAUGUGCCACACUGGGAGGUUGCGAUACCGGCCAGGCCAAAAUCACGGGAGCCUAUGGCCUACCAGCCAAGUACGUGAUCCACACAGUGGGUCCCAUUGCCCAGGGGGUUGUUGGGGACAGGGAGAGAGAGGAGCUGCGCAACUGCUACCGCAACUGCCUGGAUACCGCCACUCAGAACCAGCUGAGGACUGUGGCCUUCCCCUGCAUCUCCACUGGGGUGUAUGGAUAUCCCCCAGACAAAGCUGUGGAUGUGGCCCUGACCGUGGUUCGAGAGUACUUGGAGAAGCACCCUGCUCAGUUGGAUCGUGUGAUCUUCUGCGUGUUUCUCAAGUCUGAUGAGGAUCUGUACCAAGACAGGCUCCCUCGCUACUUCCCACAUGGUGCCCAGGUGAAAAGCAAGCUCUGAAGCCCUCAGCAAUGAAGUCCCCGUCCUUCUGGGCUCCUCGCUGCAUGUGUGUCUCCUCUUCCUCGGCCUCCCCUUCCUUCUGCUGGCUCAGCCCCAGGGACUCCCAGGGCAGCCUGCGUGUAUGAAUCACUGUGGAAUCGCUUGGAAAUGCAUGAGAGAAAUCCAUUAAAGCGACAAGGGGCUCGGUGACUUAGGGAUGCGGCGUGGGAAAAGCACAGCAUGUCGUGCUGGUGUCAGCGUUGCAGUCUGGGAAAUGGGUGAUGACAGCAUUAGUGGCACUUCUGCACGCAAGGAAGAUGAAAUUAAACAGAGAGAAUGUAAAUGACAGGGCUCUGGCGCACUGUGUGACCCUUUCUGAUUGCACCACGCUGUGUCCUGUAUCCGCGUCUUCUCUGCACGCAUAUGAGGCCCCGUGUAGAAAAAGCAAUAAAGUGUGUUGCGCGUUUCCAGGUUUUGCACAGCGCUUGUGGUGGAACCUUUUUCGAAGCGGUUUUGUCACCCACAGCAUUGGGUUGUUGUCACUGCGAUUAAGACUUCAUCAGCGAAUGAUGAGGAUGUGUGUUUGAGGAGGGGGCUGCACAGGGUUUUGUUUCCCUCCCCUCCAUAGUGCUCCCUCCUGUCUUCAGUCUUAUCCAAAAUAAGACCCGCUUCCUACACGCACACUCUCACAGAUGAGUAUCUGAAGCAGCCGAGACCUGGUGGACAUUGCGGAGGGAAGAGACUGGUAGGACCGUUACACCUCCAGUCAUUAUGGCGUAUUAGCGUUCUCCCUUCCUCUGACCUACCUCCUCCGUGUCUUUUCCCCUCCACACUCAUCCUCCAUACUCUCUUUCCUUAUUGCUCUGUUUUACCUGUUCCUUCCCUCCCUCCUGCUGUCGAUCCGUCAUCCUCCAGCCUCGCAUCCCACAAAGGCUCUUCUCGGAUCACUGCUCCUCUCAGCUGCUUCCUCCUGGAGAUCUAUCCAUCCAUCUCUCUC